CCCAAUAUAAAACAAAAUAGGCUGACUGGGAAUUGUAUAGUGCAAGUAGGGCCAAGGAUGACCCCAAAAACGGCACCCUUAACGUUAAGUCAUCCCGAAACGGAGAAUUGCUGAAUAUAUUGGUUAGAGUAGACCAUUCAGUGUAUCAUGUCUCUAACUUACCGAUAUGCUUUAUCAGUUCACAGGCCAUUCGCGCACUGCUGUAAUUACUCUCCUUACAAUACUUUUUAGUUCUUUAGAAAACUUAUUGACACAAAAAAAGCACGACAACAUCAACAGCAAGCUAUUUAAUGGCAGAAUGUGAGCAUUGCCAAUUGCUCUGACAUAGAAGAUGUUGUCUUCUGCAAAAAUCAGCUAAGUAUACACAUCUCUCCUUAAAGAUGUACAAAGUGUUUCGAGUCUUGGAAAAUGCCUAAUAUAGCUUUAUUCUUUCUGGAGAGUAUGACGAUGAGCUUUUUGUAG